AUUUGGCUUUCUGGAUAGAUUUACCAUGCUGCAUAGCUCACAUUUGUUCCAAGAAAGCUGCUAUCUUCAGUCAGGACCAUUAAUCCGACCAAAGAUCGCUCUGGUAGCUCAGUCAUCGAGCCAUGAUAUUAAGUGCAAUGUACUUCACUAAAAGCGGACUCAGACCACAGUGCUUCAAAAGCCCUUAAUGAUAUGAAAGUAUCUCACAAUAGCGAUAACCAUCUGACUUGUUUGAGGAGGAAAAAAAGAUGAUUAAAUGGUGAGCAGCAGUGAAUUGAAAACUGAAGUGCACAUUUAAGGCCAUUGUCUAAAGGGCAUUGUCUAAAGCAAAAUCUCUAAUUGUGCUAUUUUUUCAUAUUACCUAUGUUGGCCUAAAAUUUGCCGUUUUGUAUCUCUCUGCAAUUCCAUUUCAAACUCUUAUUUUCCUUUAAUAUUAUUUUCUGUUUAACAAAACCAAUCUAUUGUGUAAAUGAGAACUGUACAGAAUCUUUUUGACUAUAUAUGUAGCAAUACUUUUUAAAAGUAACAGACGCAAGCACAAACACAAUGGGCUUAUACAUUAUACUGAAUUGAUGCCGUCUGUUAUUGUAAGGGUUGGCUCCUUAUUAAAUGUUCUUAGUGAUAAAACUUUAUUUAAAACGUAAAGCUCGACCAUGUGAUCAAAAAGGUCACUACUCUGGACCAAGCUGUAACAUGGUAGGAGUUAGGUUUCAUGCAAAGAUAUUCUAUAGUGUGUUGGGAUAACUGUACAGAAGCCCAGAGAGGUCAUGUAUUUUUAAAAACUUUCUGACUUGUUAUCUGGAGAAAACAAAUUGUUCUCAAGAUAACUUGUUUUCUUGAGAACUUUUUUUUCACAAGAAAACAAAUUGUUUUCUUUAGAUAACAAGUCAGAAUACUAUUAAAAAUACAUGGCCUCUCUGGGAUAUAACUGUGAUCUGCAAGACUGAUGUUAACCUGCCUGGCUUUACUUUGUUGAAGCAAGGGGUGUGCCCUAAUGUAACAAUUGACAGUGGUAGUUUGUCACAAGAAUGUUGUGUUUUUUUUUCCCAUAUAGAGUUAUUUACAAGUUGCUAGAAUAUCAAAGUGAAUUUAAAGUAAAUUUAAAAAUUUAGGCCAAAAUUUUCCAAUUUGAAAAA